CGACCGGGAAUUAGCCCAGCGCUGAAUCCUGUAUCUUUGAUAUUAGGAAUUGUAGCGUAAAGGUUGUGUUUUUAAUUGAAYAGUAUGCUCCAAAUUCACUUGAUUGUGAUGUUGUCCAGAGAGGGUGUUAGGCCCGUUGGAGUAUAUAAAGCUUUUAUUGAUGCUUCCUAUGAGUCGGAUUGUUUGAGAAUGCAGUCCAAAUUUGGUGGUAAACUCCAUCUAAGGCUAAAUACUUGUGUGAGUCCGAUAGUAAACAAGUACCGUGAGGGAAAGUUGAAAAGAACUUUGAAGAGAGAGUUAAAUAGUACGUGAAAUCGCUUAGAGGUAAACGAGUGAAGCCGAAGAUGUUGUAUGGAAUUCAAUUAACUGAAUGUUUUCUUGAUAUUAGCAAAAUCUCACUAGGAAUUGCUGAUAUUAGGCUCUUAAUAGACGGUUGGUGCACUUUCUAUAUAACAGUACUGCGACCAAUAGCGCUGUUUUUCUGUCGUGACAUUGAAGGUGAUCWUUUCUUCGGAACUGGUUUUAUAGCUUGUUACAUGGUUAAAUGGUUUAUUGGUGAUUGCGAUCGACAAAUUUUGAUUAGUUUAAUGUUGAUGAUUUUAUGAUUGACUAAUAAUAGGCUUUUAUUGUAUUGNUGAUGUUUUACCAARUCGAAGUGUUGAUCUAAAGUCUGCAGUGUAUGUAGGUUACUUACUCGUCCCGUCUUGAAACACGGACCAAGGAGUUUUAUAUGAUCGCGAGUCAAAGGGCUAUACGAAACCCCACGGCGCAAUUAAUGUAAAGGUUUACUUUUGUAAGCUGANAUGUGACCUCGUGGCAACACAGAGUGCAACAUCGACCCGUCUAAAGAUGUUCGCAUCUGGGCGGAGUUUGAGCGAUCAUGUAGAGACCCGAAAGAUGGUGAACUAUGCUUGUGCAGGUUGAAUCCAGAGGAAACUCUGGUGGAGGACCGCCGCGGUUCUGACGUGCAAAUCGAUCGUCGGACAUGAGUAUAGGGGCGAAAGACUAAUCGAACCAUCUAGUAGCUGGUUCCCUCCGAAGUUUCCCUCACGAUAGCUGACAUUUGUUAUUGUAGUUUUACCUGGUAAAGCGAAUGAUUAGAAGUAUUGGGGGUGAAAUGCUCUCAACUUAUUCUCAAACUUUAAAUGGGUUCGAA
rnacentral:rRNA from 1 species